GACGAACGCUGGCGGCGUGCUUAACACAUGCAAGUCGAACGGAAAGGCCCUGCUUUUGUGGGGUGCUCGAGUGGCGAACGGGUGAGUAACACGUGAGUAACCUGCCCUUGACUUUGGGAUAACUUCAGGAAACUGGGGCUAAUACCGGAUAGGAGCUCCUGCUGCAUGGUGGGGGUUGGAAAGUUUCGGCGGUUGGGGAUGGACUCGCGGCUUAUCAGCUUGUUGGUGGGGUAGUGGCUUACCAAGGCUUUGACGGGUAGCCGGCCUGAGAGGGUGACCGGCCACAGUGGGACUGAGAUACGGCCCAGACUCCUACGGGAGGCAGCGGUGGGGAAUAUGGCACAAGGGGCGGAAGCCUGAUGCAGCAACGCCGCGUGCGGGAGGACGGCCUUCGGGUUGUAAACCGCUUUCGCCUGUGACGAAGCGUGAGUGACGGUAAUGGGUAAAGAAGCACCGGCUAACUACGUG
rnacentral:rRNA from 1 species